rnacentral:lncRNA from 1 species
AGGUCCAUCUACAACAUCCAGUGCAGCCUGAGCAGCAAGCAAGCAGUGAUCGUGACCAACUUGAGCAUCCUGAACUUCCUAGACAACUUGAGCAGCUAGGUAAAAAACACUUCUCAAUUCUCAUUCACUUACAACUUUGUUUCCCAGGAGCUUCACUAGAGCAUCAAAUUGAGCACCGUGAGCAACACGUGGAUGUGCCUGGAUGGCAAUCAGAAAACAACAGGGUGGCAUACCUGCAUGCAAAAUUAUUUUCAGGGGUGCAGAGUCGUCCUCGACUUGGACUAGUGUUGCAAGCUAGUGCUGGAACUGUUUUAACAAGUCCAGAAUUCACUAGUGUUGUUGAAGCAAUUGCCACUGCAAAAGAAGCACAUGAGAAGCAGAAAAAAUUGGAAGCAAUUGAAAGGGCUGCAAGGAAAAAAGAAAGAGAAGAAGCAACAAUAAAAAAGAAAGAAGCAGCAGCCAUCAAAAAAAAGGAGAGGGAAGAAGCAGCAGCCAGAAAAGCUGAAGCAACAGAGAAGAAAAAAUUGGAAGCCUUGAAAAAAAAGAGGGAGAAAGAAGAGGAAGCAAUGAGAAAAAAAAAUAAGAGAAAAAAUGAAGUCUUGGAAUCUCUAAUGCCAAGCAAACACCAAAAGCAGAGGUAAUGAAUUUGCUUGUUUUCACUCUAAUAUCUUUGGGCUUGCUUGUAGUUACCUGGAGAAUGUCAUUGUCCCACGCCGCCCUCGCUCCUCCUCGCGGCAACAAAUGGACGAUGU